rnacentral:rRNA from 1 species
UACGAAGGGGGCUAGCGUUGUUCGGAAUUACUGGGCGUAAAGCGCGCGCAGGCGGUCCUUUAAGUCUGAUGUGAAAGCCCACGGCUCAACCGUGGAAGGUCAUUGGAAACUGGAGGACUUGAGUACAGAAGAGGAAAGCGGAAUUCCACGUGUAGCGGUGAAUGACGUAGAGAUGUGGAGGAACACCAGUGGCGAAGGCGGCUUUCUGGUCUGUAACUGACGCUGAGGCGCGAAAGCGUGGGGAGCAAACAGG